CGUGUGGGAGGGGGAGCGCGAGGCCGCGUCGCGCCGUUUGAAUCGCGCUGGCAGUUGGGCGCGCGCCCCGCCCCGCCAUGGACGCUCCCAUCGACGGCUGUCUCAUCACUGCGCUGAUGGCGGCCGCUCCCCACCUUCAGGGCGGAGCGCAGUGUCCCUCCGGACCACGCCUGCCGGUAGGGCCCUUGCACGACAGGUGAGGUCACGACCCCUGACCCAUACUGCAGCCACGCAAUGCCUUCUGGAGUACAAGAGGAGAACUUCAGGAAACACACUUGAAAUUACAAGCGCAGAUAAGGCUGAGGACCAAUUGGAUCGGUCAGACAUACCAAUCCUCAUCUAUAUUACUAAAAGUCUGAUCUUUACCGCAUUUGGCCCACUGUGCUGCGAUUUUCGAGAGAACGCCGCCACCUAUGGCCGUCAUCUUUGGUCACCUCGCUCAGAGCCUCCCUCAGCCUUCCUGGACUGGAGGAUUUUCCCCAUCGAUGACAAAUCAGAGAGAUAUUAAUGUUUUUUAAAAAAUCACCAUUCUCUCUGCUGCCCCUGCUAGGGGGAGGAACUAUAAAACCAGGAAGUGGUGUGCCUCACUCAGUCUCUGCAAGAUGGAUGAAGCCAAAGGGUCACGUCUCUCUGAGCUCUGAAUAACUCAACAUGUCUACUCAACUGUGUCCCCUUAAUGUGGUUUGAAAAUGAAAAUAUGGUUUGAAGUAAAAAUGCACUGCAUGCAAAUGGUUGUUUGGGUGCUUUAGCUUGAAGUUAAAAGGCACUACCUACUGCAAAUGGUGGCUUGGGUGCUUUGGCUUGAAGUUGAAAGGCACUACUUACUGCAAAUGGUGGCUUGGGUGCUUUAGCUUGAAGUUAAAAGGCACUACCUACUGCAAAUGGUGUGUUGGGUGCUUUGGCUUGAAGUUGAAAGACACUACUUUCUGCAAAUGGUGGCUUGGGUGCUUUGGCUUGAAGUUGAAAGGCACUACUUGUUGAAAAUGGUGGCUUGGGUGCUUUUUGAGAAUCUCUCUCCUGUCAAUCACGCCAUGAAGGCCACACCUUUUCUGGUGGGAGGGGGAGGGGUUAUAAAACCCGGAAGUAUGGGUAUGGCUCAGUCUCUGCAUGAUGGGGCAGGGAGAGGUCACGACUCUGAGCUGUGAAUCAACUGAACACACUGAAUGUCUACUGAACUGAGUUUGGUGUUUUGUGUGGUUUUAUGGUGGUUUCACCCUGCAUGAAAUGGUAUGAAGCUGCAUUUGAAUUUGGUGGCCUUGCACCCUGCUUGAAAUGGAAUGAAACUACACUUGAAUUUGGUGGCCUUGCUUCCUGCUUGAUGUGGAAUGAAACUGCACGAAUUUGGUGGCCUUGCACCCUGCUUGAAGUGGUAUAAAACUGCACUUGAAUUCAGAGGCCUUGCACCCUGCUUGAAGUGGUUGGAAACUGCACUUGAAUUUGGAGGCCUUGCACCCUGCUUGAAGUGGUAAGAAACUGCACUUGAAUUUGGUGGCCUUGCACCCUGCUUGAGAUGGAAUUUCAAGGAAUAGCCAUGUCAACUGCCAGCCCACCAGCCGUGAGUGAGCUGCCAGCAGAUCAGGCUUGAGGGACUGAGCUGCCACCACAAGAAACCAUACCAACGCUCCAGAAAGCCCCCCCAACUGGCCACCAAUAUUGGAAUUGGUGGAGAGGUGGAAUAUUGCGUCGGGGGACCAGCCCUCCCGUGUGAACAUGGGACCCAACGGGUCCCACUUAGUGUAGUAUAGUACUAAAUCUAGAGGUACAGCAAUCAUAAUUCGAAAAGGAACACCAUUUAAACUAAAGAAUAAAAUAAUAGACAAAGAUGGGAGGUAUGUCAGUUACGGGAGAGAUAAACUCGACCGCAGUUACCUUAGUAAAUAUUUAUGCGCCAAACUUUGAUAAACCUCAAUUCUUUAACAAAAUUUUGAACUUAAUCUCAGAGAUUAAUUAUCAAAGUGUAAUAUUUGGAGUAGAUUUCAAUUGCGUUCUUGACAAUUAUUUGGAUAAAUCAACACAACAAAAAAGAUUAAACAUUAAAUCUAAAUCUAGUGAACUCUUAAAUACGUACAUAAAAAACACAAUUAUAACAGAUGUAUGGAGGAUUGCAAAUCCAGCUGGAAGGGAAUAUUCUUUCUACUCAUAAAACCUACUCACGAAUUGAUUACUUUUUAGUAGAUACAAAAUUAAUUCCAUUUACAUCAAAUCCAAAAUACCAUAGUAGUAUAAUUUCAGAUCAUGCGCCGUUAACUUUCUUCUUAAUAAUAGAAGGAAUGACCAAUAAAAAUUUGUUCUGGAGAUUUAUUCCCCAUAUUGUAAACAACCCGCAGGGUUGUGCAUAGCUAAGAAAACAGAUGGAAUUUUUCUUUGAGACUAAUGAUACACCAGGUAUAUCACCCUCAUUAUUAUGGGAAUCGUUUAAGGCAUUUAUCAGAGGAUCGGUAAUUUCAUAUCAAGCGUUUCAAAAUAAAAAAAAUAAAAUGGAACAGGGAAGAAACAAUUGGACAAUUUGACUUGGACAACACCAAAGACCCAACUAGGGAUAAACAUAAUAAGGUAUUAAUAUUGAAAUUUAAAUUAAAUAGAAUCUUAUCUGAAAGAAUCAUUAGACUAUUCUAAAUUACAAAGCAGGAAAAUAUUGAAUUCGGCGACAAGCCACAUAAACUCUUGGCACGACAAAUGAAAAAACGGGAAAAGGAACAUACAAUUUCUAAAAUUAGGUCAGAUAAAGGGGAAUUGAUAAUACUACCCAAAGAGAUUAACAAAAGAUUUGCUCAAUUCUACCAAAAUUUAUAUACAUCAAAAGCAUCAAUAGAUAAUGUCAAAAUCACAAACUUUUUGGAAAAAUAUAAUCUCCCAAAACUUAAUGUGAUGGAACAGGAAGAAUUAGGAGCUCAAAUUACAAUUAAUGAGUCAAUAAAGUCUUUGAAGAACGGUAAAACACUAGGACCAGAUGGAUUUAGUGGAUUACAAAUAUGUCGGAAAUACUACAUCUUGAGGAAAUGAGACUUGUUCUAGCAGGAAAACGAGCAAUUCUUAAGAAUAUGGUCACCUUUCAUUGAUUUCAUUGAUUUGUUACAGGUGUAAUAUGGUGCAACACAACCCUGGAAAGUAACUCUUUUAGAACUAGGUGAUGGGUGUGAAUCGUUAGGAAUUAGGCACAUUCCCUUUCCUUCUUGCUUAGCCUUACCUUUUUUAGAUUCUUUACUUAUUUUCUUUUUCAUUUCUUAAGGCCUCCCUUUUCUGUGGGGCCUUUUUUUUCUUCUUUUCUUUUCACAUUUUCAAGCACGCAGUCUACUUAACAAUUAUCAUUCACUUACCGCCAACUACUGCGGACUACACUUCACUACUAUCCUCACUUAUCUUCUUUCUCUUUUUUCUUUUCUCUUUUUCUAUUAUAGGUUAAAGUUAAAAAAUAAGUUGUACAAGAAACGUAGUAUGUCGCAUAUUAUGAUUAAGAUGUAUGUACAUUGCUUCUCAUUAAAACUUUUUUUUAAAAACGCUGACUUACAGUUUGUAAUCCUUCGAUAAAAUGCAGUUGUCAGCUGCUCAAGCGACUUCUCUUCCUCCACAGCUACCUUUCCAAAUGGAUCAGUUUGCAACCUCAGCGCACUUUAAUAGCGUUGGUCUCCUCCCUCCAUGCUCCUCCCAACACCUCCGGUAGAUGGCGGUUCCACAAACAUGCUGAACUAUUUAUUGGCAAAACUAUCAGCACAAACCGAAUCCUUUGUUAGUCCACACUGAAUAUUAAGCUGCCGCCAAAUCUGACCAAAGGUGUGUAGGAAGGAACUGCAGAUGCUGGUGUACACCAAAGAUAGACACAAAAUGAUGGAGUAACUCAGCGGGGCAGGCAGCAUCCUUGGAGAGAAAGAAUGGGCCCUUGCUUUCCCUCUCUCUACACAUCCCUCCCAAAGCACCGUAGUUCCAUGACUAGUUUCACUGUCCUGAAUAAUUUUACUGUUUGUAUGCCUCAUUAACUACUCCCCCGCAGCCAACAAUGACCCUUUCCUUGAUCAUCGUCUGCUUUGACCUGUCGUUUUCACAUCUUACAUUCACUGUGUACCUUUCCAUAGCUACAGUUCCCCUCUCCCCUGACGCUCAGUCUGAUGAAGGGUCUCAAUCCAAAAUGUCAUCCAUUCUGUCUCUCCAGAGAUGCUGCCUGUCCUGCUGAGUUGCUCCAGCAUUUUGUGUCUAUCUUCAUUGCCAACUGAAGAGUGGAUUUGGGCACGUCCAACACUAAUUCACCAACUUGAAGUGUCAAUUUUUAAUAUUUCAACUAAAUUUAUCACUAUUGAAUCAUAUUCCACAGAUUUGUUUGCUGAUAUCACAGCUAGCCGAAAUACAUGAAGGUUAGUGAGUCACUUUGCUGAUAAGAUGCUGGGGAAAAAUAAUGUAAGUAUAGAGUUGAUUACUUGGGAGAUGGUAUGAUAUGUGCAUGUUCUUGAAAAGUUACUGAAGACAGUUUGCGGUUUGAUUUUUUUCUCAUAAAUUAUAGCUUCACAAAGUUGACAAUGGUCUUGUUACACAGACAGUAAAUUGGUAGGAUGUGGAAAUUGGACCAUAAAACUGAGUUGUACUAUGAAUACUUUAUGUUGGGAACAUAAGCCAAGACCUUGCAUGAUGAACUAAACCUGGUGAGAAUAAAUCUUAGUUGGUGAACAAUACUAAAUUGGAAGCCAAAUGAGAUGAAGAAGGGGUGGCACAAAGGUAAGUUGGCUCCUGACAGCACCAGAGACCUGGGUUUGAUUCUGACCAUGGGUGGUGUCUGUACGGAGUUUGGAUGUUCUCCCCGUAACCGCAUGGGUUUUCUCCGGGUGUUCCGAUUUCAUCCCACAUUACGAAGACAUACAGGUUUGCAGAUUAAAAAUAGAAACUUAGGUGCAGGAGUAGUCUAUUCGAAUUUUUGAGCAGGCUCCACCAUUCAAAAUGAUCAUGGCUGAUUAUCUAAAAUCAGUACCCCGUACCUGCUUUUUCCCCACUAUCCCUUGAUUACUUUAGCACUAAGAACUAAAUCUAACUCUUGAAAACAUCCAGGGAAUUGGCUUCCACUGCCAUCUGUGGCAGAGAAUUCCACAGAUUCACAACUCCCCCUUCUGCAUCUCAGUCCUAAAUGGCCUACCCCUUAUUCUUAAACUGUGAACCCUGGUUCUGGACGCCCCCAACAUUGGGAACAUUUUUCCUGUAUCUUGCUUGUCCAGUCCUUUAUAUAUUUCUAUAACACGAUGCAAGAUACAUUUAUUUGUCACAUGUACUGAUUGGUACAGUGAAAUGUGUGGUCACCAUACAGCCAUACAAAUAAUAAAGAGCACAGAACACGAUAGACUUUAACACAGAUAUCC